rnacentral:lncRNA from 1 species
ACCACACCGCUAGCGCCUCUGAACCUCGCCAGGCACGUCCGGUUCUGCGGCCCCCACUCCGCCCCCGCCUGCCGGGAGCCGCGCAGUUACAAAGUGCCGGGAGCCGUGCAGGGCCAGUGAACCCCUCGCUGAGACUCAGUUUGCUGCCAUCACAAGUGCUCUGAGAAUCCUGGAGAGGGAGGAUAUUGGAGACAAACGGGACUGCUGCCCGCCUUUUAGGCGACCGUUGGAGGCUGCUCUGUGCCGGACACAGGCAGGGAGGUGGAGGCCAGAUACAAGAAAACCACAGUACCAGUAAAUGACAAAGGCUGGAUCUUAACCCAAGUCCUCCGACUCUGAAGGCCAUACCCAACAGGUCCCAUUUUAUUUGUUUUACUUUUUUUUAAUUGAAGAAAAAAAAACUAGCAUUCCCCUACAGUGCCCCCCACCUGGUGGGGACAUCUUGGGUUGGCAAGGCCACCACUUUCAAGAGUAGAAGUGUUUUUCAGCAGGAGGAGUUGGCUGCACCAAAGGAGCUCAGGAGAAGCUGGAGUCUCAGGCCCAGCAGGAACAGCCAGAGGUUUUGCAGCUUUGCCCAGCGGCUGGGUUCGCCGAAGGGUCUCCCUGGGGGUUCCCAGCAUGAGCCGAAGCCACCCUCCCCUGUGGGAUCUGUGAGGCCAGGCAUUGGGCCUCUUUAGGCCUCAGUUUCCUCCCCUGUCAUAGGCAACUGACAGUCCCUCUGGAGCGCCACUGGGGCUGCAGAGGGAGGCCGGAGAGAUGGUGCCCCCCCUCCUCCCCGCCACCCCCACACACAGCCCUCAGCAGGAUGGUGGCUGCCUGGCCGAUUGCUUUUGCAUUUGCAGCAGAGCGGGGGAGUGAGGCCAAGCUGAGUGCCCCCUCCCCCUGCCCAGCCAGCUCAGACCCAGGCGGUGGAGCAGGAAGGCUCUGGGGAAAACAGUGUGAGUCACCGGGCGGCCAGAGUGUGUCCUUCCCUGCUAGCGCACUACACGGCAGGUUUCAUAGCUUGACAGCAAAGUGUUUGAAAACGAAGAGCAGGAAUUCCGCGGUUCCUGCCCGGCCUCGCCAUCCAGCUGGGAGAAGAGCAUGGUCAUUUC